rnacentral:rRNA from 1 species
UACGAAGGGUGCAAACGUUGCUCGGAAUUAUUGGGCGUAAAGCGCACGUAGGCGGCAUCGCAAGUCCCAUGUGAAAGCCCACGGCUUAACCGUGGAAGUGCAUGGGAAACUGCAGUGCUUGAGUACUUAAGAGGAUCGCGGAAUUCCCGGUGUAGAGGUGAAAAUUCGUAGAUAUUCGGAAGAACACCAGUGGCGAAGGCGGCUCACUGGACUGGUAUUGACGCUGAGGUGCGAAAAGCUAGGGGAGCAAAAGCGGG